CCUACGGGUGACAGCAGUGAGGAAUAUUGGUCAAUGGGCGUAAGCCUGAACCAGCCAAGUCGCGUGAGGGAUGAAGGUUCUAUGGAUCGUAAACCUCUUUUAUAAGGGAAUAAAGUGUGGGACGUGUCCUAUUUUGUAUGUACCUUAUGAAUAAGGAUCGGCUAACUCCGUGCCAGCAGCCGCGGUAAUACGGAGGGUCCGAGCGUUAUCCGGAUUUAUUGGGUUUAAAGGGUGCGUAGGCGGCCGUUUAAGUCAGCGGUGAAAGUCUGUGGCUCAACCAUAGAAUUGCCGUUGAAACUGGGGGGCUUGAGUAUGUUAGAGGCAGGCGGAAUGCGAGGUGUAGCGGUGAAAUGCUUAGAUAUCACGCAGAACCCCGAUUGCGAAGGCAGCCUGCCAGGCCAUGACUGACGCUGAUGCACGAAAGCGUGGGGAUCAAACAGGAUUAGAUACCCCAGUAGUC
rnacentral:rRNA from 1 species